rnacentral:misc_RNA from 1 species
GCAAACUUGGUCAUUUAGAGGAAGUAAAAGUCGUAACAAGGUUUCCGUAGGUGAACCUGCGGAAGGAUCAUUACUGAGUGCGGGUUCUGAUCGAGCCCAACCUCCCACCCGUGUUUACCGUGACCGUGUUGCUUUGGCGGGCCCACUAGGGCUCCCCUCUGGUCGCCGGGGGGCUGCUGCCCCCGGGCCCGUGCCCGCCGAAGCGCCUGUGAACCCUGUCUGAAUAGUGAGUCUGAGUGUGGGAUGAAAUCAUUAAAACUUUCAACAACGGAUCUCUUGGUUCCGGCAUCGAUGAAGAACGCAGC